UACGUAGGGACCAAGCGUUGUUCGGAUUUACUGGGCGUAAAGGGCGCGUAGGCGGCGCGACAAGUCACUUGUGAAAUCUCUGAGCUUAACUCAGAACGGCCAAGUGAAACUGUUGUGCUAGAGUGCAGAAGGGGCAAUCGGAAUUCUUGGUGUAGCGGUGAAAUGCGUAGAUAUCAGGAGGAACACCGGUGGCGAAGGCGGCUAUCUGGACAGAGUCUGACGCUGAGGCGCGAAAGCGUGGGGAGCAAACAGG
rnacentral:rRNA from 1 species